UUUAGCCCAAGAGAAGAGGCUUCCGGAGCCGCUCCGGGGGCCGCUCCGACGGGGAAGGGGGUCGGAAGCGGAAACAAUCCCAGAGCGGGGACGACCCCGAGGCCAAACAGCCCCGGACCGACAGCGAGGGCGACGACUCCGACAACGCGGACGAGGGAGAAGGAGAGGAAAAAUCCGGGGAUGAAGGUGACAAAGCAUCCGGGGACGGCGGCGAGGACGACGACGAGGAGGUGAAGAAGAAGAGGGAGAAGCAGCGGAGAAGGGAUCGGAUGCGGGAUCGGGCCAUGGACAGGUGAGCCCAGGGAUGAGCCAGGAGCGGAAUUCCUGGGAAUAACGUGGAAAAA